GACGAACCGUGCGAACGUUGUUCGGAAUCACUGGGCUUAAAGGGCGCGUAGGCGGACGAGCCAGUCCGGGGUGAAAUCUUUCGGCUUAACCGGAAAAGUGCCUUGGAUACUGCUCGUCUUGAGGGAGGUAGGGGCCUGUGGAACUUCUGGUGGAGCGGUGAAAUGCGUUGAUAUCAGAAGGAACGCCGGUGGCGAAAGCGACAGGCUGGCCCUCUUCUGACGCUGAGGCGCGAAAGCUAGGGGAGCAAACAGG
rnacentral:rRNA from 1 species